GAAAAUCAGGUUCAAUUGUAUCUGUUCUAAAAUAUCACUUUGAAAAUUCAAUUGAUAACCACUAACUGAGACAAGGUAGCAUUUCCAUAUAAAAGUUUUGCUUUGCUUUCCUAAGCAAGUAUCUAACUUACAUUAUGGUUAAUAUAUCUGGAAAAUAUUUGUCUCAGACAUUACUUCUUCUCAAGUUACAGAAGUAUAAAUAUAAUCAGAAACCAAACCAAAACAACAACAAAAAAAAACAUGUUGUUGCACUUUUGCAAAUUAAACAUAGAAAUAGAUUCUUCUCAGAUCUGUCAGUCAAACAUGCCCUCAGUUUGAAACAAGAGACCAAGUUCCAGGAGGAACACUGGAAAAUACGGCUCAGUCUUGCUCCUGUUGAAGUCAACACAGGUUCUCCUUUUGAGUUCAACAGAGAAGCAUUGGGUCCUGCCUCCUGGAACACCAAGGGCUGACAAUGAAAACAUUGUUAGAAAAAAUCACUCAAGGUGAAAAGGAUGUGAAAGUCUCUCUGACAGCAGUACAUAAAGCUUCCUAGGCUACCUUUGUUUACACAAGUCCUCAUUCAGCUACACAGUUUGUGAUAUUUUUUUCCAUUAGCACAAACUACUUAUAACAUUUUAAAAAUAUAGAAAUACACAUUUUCUGAAAUGCGUAUUUGUACAAAAAGCUUGCUGGGAAAGAAGGAAAGACGAAGGGAGCAGUAAGGAGGAAGAUGAUGAAAUUCUGCAAUUCAUCUACUAGAGAUGACCAAUAGGGGCAUUCACAAAUGCGUGGCUGGGGAUACAGAGUAAAGCUUAGUGGACUUUCGUGCAAGUGAAGAUGUCAUCUAUAUUAAUCAGGCUCUUUAAUAAAAGAUGUCUCAAUAAAUAAUGAGCUGUUAACAUGCGACUACACAGGGUGAAGUACUGAGUGAGAAGAGUCUGACUAUCUUUACCAUCAGUGGGAACAUGAGUAAAAGCACAAAAAUGAAGGAUUGCCAACUGUGCAAAAGGAAAAAAGGGCUGAAAAUGCUGAACUGAAGGAAAGUAAAGAGAUGUUGGCACCCUUCCUUUAAGGGAGAAUUCAGGAACGGGGCCGUACUUUUUACAUGACCCGUGACGCUCACACCGACUCAGAGGAAUUCUAAUGACGCAGCUGGAGAAUGCCACAAACAGAGCAUGGUGGUCUCUAUCUAGCUGAAGGGAGAUGACUCUUCUGUCUUCCUCACUCUCAGCAUUACACCUGUUAAGAAAAAUAAUGGGAAGCCAUUAUUUUACAACUGUAGUACUUUGGGCAGAGCUUAUGCUGAAAACAUUUUAUUUAUUUAUUGUUUGUUUGGAUACUGAAAAAGGAAUUCCUUAUAUAAAUACAACGUACUAGUCUUUUCUGAGUGGCUUGUAAGCAAACAUGAUUUGAUAAGCUGGGUUAUCAAUACUGACUUCUGACUCUUAUUUACAGCUACAUGACUAUUUUAAAAAUACAAAUUCAUUUUCUUUGUUCUCCCAGAUGACAUAAAUAUCUCAACAGAGCAGAACAGGAGUCCUGUACUGGGCACCUGUAGAGUCUAAUUUCCAAAUCCUUUUUUUCCAGAAUAAACACAUUUAAAAUGAUUAGAUGUAGUUUAUUUAUUAUUGGUCACUGUUGAGAAACCCUCAAUAAAAGCUCUCAGUGUUGCUUUUUAACAGCAGAUUGUUCUGAUGUUUGAUAUUCAGGAAGAUGUGUAUCUAUUUGUGGAAGAAUUAGACUGUAUCACUGGCGUCACUAGAGUGGAAUUAGGUUGUUCACUUGACCCAAGCAAAAUGGCAAGUAACCAAAUAUUUUCAGGUUAUUCAACAUGAGAAACACUGUGAAAUGACAAAUAAAUGAUGAUGUUGGUAAUAAUGAAUUAGUUUUGGUUCACCAUCAUUUUUAUUUAGCUAGGUACCAAGGACUAGAUGAAAAGCUACAUAUUUUAGGUGUUCUGGUAAUACUUACUUUGCAUGAUUAUAUGCUUCAAUCUCUUCCAGUAAUACACUGUCAUUCAAAGAGAAAGGCCUGGUCUUUGCCAAGAUUUUAAGUACUACUCCUGCUUCAGAGCCAACAAAUAUGACUGUGUAGUUCUGGUAUGGUCCAGCAGCGUGGUCUACAGCAAUUGCUGUCAAUCUGUAUCUAUCAAGACCAAAAGGCAUGUCAUUAACUAACAGUGUGUUUCCUUGUUUUCCUUCUCACAUGCUUUAACUCUGAAUUAUGUCAUACCUGACACGUGUUUUGGUAAACCAAGGCUCCUCAACAAUUGAGGGAACAGCUGAAUCCAUCAAAGGAUGAGAUUUAAUGAAGGACAACGUUUCGUCUGGGAAAUCAAUGGAGGUUUUGUAAGCUUCUGCUAGGCCAUGUUUUGCACAGCAGCCAGGUCUGAAAGGAAGACAACAUUGUUUUUUCCCUCUUGAUAUUUUAGUUAAUGAGAGAAGGCAGCCUGUUAAAGAGCAUCCUUAUGGUUAAAGUGUAAAGCUUUGCUUUGAUUUUUACCGAACAAGUCACCCAAGAGUGCAGCUGAUUUUAAUGUAGGCCUUUCAAGGACAGUAUUACAGUAUCAUAAGUAAAAACUUUUUACCUUGGCUUUGGUACUUUGUCUUCAGGUACAGCUGUCCAAACAGAGUCGGGAGUCUUUUGUUCUUUAAAUCUCCCUUUGAAGACCUUCUCAAUGUCAUCCAUACUGAAAGCACAGACUGCUGAACCAGGGAUGCUGUAAAACAAGAAAAAUAGUUGCAAGAACUCAGACUACAAUGGCACCAAUCUCAGUGUAAGAGAGAAGCAAAAAACUACCUUUGAUAGAAGGUUGCUCAUCUCUCACCUGUUAAGCUGUGUAGUGAAUACACCGACAACCGUAGGGACUCCAUUGAUUUCUAUUAUGUCUGUGAUAGACUGUAGAACAUCAAAGUAGAAGAAUGAAUCUCCAGGAACUGAGCAGUUGAGGCGAGCUUUUAGAAAGGAUGUCCAAUGUUUUUCCAGGACUCUCUGAGAACCCCCCAUGUCAUUUUUGCAAAUGCGUGCCACACGGGAAUACACAGCCUGCGAAGGACAAAAAAAGAAAAAGGAAAAAGGAAGAAGGCUUGAGAGAUGCAAGGGCGAGAGUUCUUGUUUCUGAGAUAUUAAUAAAGAACACUGAAGAUCAGAAAGGCAGUUGUCAUUCAUCCAUGCAGAAAGAAAGAAAGCAAACAAUGUUUAGCUGCUAGUGCACAGGCAUUUUAAUGUAUCAUCAAGCAAACGCAACUCUGCCAGCUUGUCCCCUAGCCUUCUUGCCUUCAAAAUCAUAUUGUUAGUGAGAUUUAAAGACUCUAAUUAACCAUGUGUAAAGGAGUUAAUAAUUUAUUAUAGAAUAUCCUUCCAUGGUGAAGCAUGAGUAUUAUACUCUGUACUGGUAUGACUGAAUUAUUCAAUACCCAGGGACAUUAGAUAAACUUCUUUGAAACUCUUCUUUUGUGUUGUUUUCUUUUGUUCCUUUAAUAAGCAUGAAAAAAAACAACACUCAGAUUUUCCAUUACUUGCCACAACAGUUAAGGCAACAGUGAAACAGAAAGAUACCUGUAGAGAGCUCUCCUAACUGCAUGGCAGAAGGAAUACAAACAACUUUUUGGUUGAAGAACGCCCUGUUCUAUUUUUCCUUUUUUUUCCUCCCUGUAAAUUAUAAAAUUGGGAUAACUACAUAAAUUUUGUACUAGUCCCUUCUUCUUAUAGUAAACUGUGCUUGUUACUGUUGCUGUUUUAGGAUGAUCUAACUCUGCAAAGACUUGUAGCUAGCAAUAGCUUGCUGUAAGGAUACUCACCUUGCCUAAAUUAUUGUGCUCUACAGCAAUUUCUCGAAAGAAGAAAUAAACGUAGUUCCCGUAUUCUAUGGCAUGGAGGAAGUGUGGCUCUGUAAUAAAGAGCAAGGAGAAAGUUACUUCAAAAAAUUGUUCAAUUGGCAUACAACACUGACUACACUGUGUGAUUUGGCAGCUUUUCUCCCACAGGAGAAGCUUCUUCUCUAUACCAGCUAACAAGAGGUCUAGUCUUCCAGACACUUGAGGAUGUCUAAAUAUGGGUGCACUGGAGCUUAAAUGGACUUUAAGGCCUUAAUGUUGGCUAAUGGACUAUAAAAAAAGCCUCAAAGGAAUUGCAUUUCAGCAUAGUUAUUUUGUGACUGCAGAUUCAUUCAUUGAUGUAUUUAACAAAAAAAAUUGCUUUAUUGAUACUGCUUUCUUAUUGUGAUCAUACUAUGUUGAAAGUUGCACAUAUGGUGCCAGUAAGACAUGCUGGCUGUGAAUUACCUGACUCUCUGUGCCACUGAAAUUAUAUUCACCAUUCAUAUGGGAAAACACUCCCCCAAAUUACCUUUUAUCCAUUUGGAAUCAUACUUUAUUGUUCUUAAGGCAGAUCCAUCCCCCAUGCUGCGAUAAAUAACAGCAUCACUUGCCAGGAAAUCUGCUACAGUUGCUGAGUACAAUUUUCCAUCUAAAACGGAAGUUGAAAAUGUGGUAUUAAAAAGCCUUUAAUAAUCUACAGAACUCUGACUAGGCUGUAUUUGUCCCCAUUUUUUUUACUGCCAUUCUUCCACAAAUUGCUGUAACCUAUUUAUUAACAGGUCAGCUUCUAAUCCUUUGGAGGCCCUUUAAAAAAUUUAAGAGUAGAGGCACCUUGACACCUUUAGUUUUCCUGUGCUUGCUUUAAAAGCGCUCUGGCUGCUCUGGUGUCAUUAAUCAUUUAGACUCAUUACAAGCAAAGUUCUUACCAGCAAAGAGGGCGACAUUGGUUUGUCUGGCAUCAAAUGGGCAUCUUGCCAAACCACUAAUUUCCUCCCCAUCAUACUCCAAUGUAUUCAGCUAGAGAAGAAAAAUAAAUGGGUGGUAGUGUCAUUUCUAUUUUGUAUACUGGCACAAAAGCAUAACAUUGUCUUUCCACAAAACUUAAUUUAGCAAAUUGGCUUCUGUCUGGUUUUAUUUCACCUUGAAACACUCUCCAGUCACACUGGCUGUAUUUCCUACAGCAUAAUUAGUGCAAGCAAAACCAGUAACAGAUUAAUGACAUAUUCAAUAUCCUUACCCGAUAGUAUCUGCACAUAGGAUUAAAUGCAUUUGUUCCACAGACAAAUACCAUCUCAUUGUUUCUUGGAACAAAGACUUUAAUGAAGUUAUGGCAUUCAUCCUGAAAAGAGAGUUAAGAUGUAUCAAUCACAUAUUUCACGUAUACAAUUCACAUUAGCAGGUGACAGUGCAUGUGAUAAACUUACUUUAUGUUUGCCUUUCAUUGCACAGUUCUCUCUGUCCUGCUGCCUUGACCUCCAUGUUAAUUUCUAUUCAAAUCAAACCAGAAAAAUGUUCAUUUUCUUUCCACAAAAAAAAAAAGAAGCCAACAACAAAACAAACAAACAAACAAAAUACCUCCAAGCCUCCCUUUCCAAUUCCUCUAUCUACUCACCCUGCUUGGAGUAACUUCUGAUUUUGGAACUUCAUUCAAGUUUACAGUGUAAACUUGAUCCCUGUUUGCCAAGAAUAAAAAGAUACAAGUCACUUCAUUAAUUAACUGGACUUAGUUUUGUUGAGCUAAAUCUAUUUUUAGAGUGUUUUGUUAGACAAUAAGUUUCUAUGAAAUGCUUAUUUUCUGCAUUAUGGGAGAAGUUUGUGCAUGGGCAAAUAGGGUAAUGUUGACUUUAUCGGUGUGGACCUUAGAUUGCACCUAUAGUAUCCAGUUGCCCCAUCUUUCCAUUAUGUUGAAGACUAAUUCAGACUGUAAAUAAUCAGGUGUUUUACACUCACUUCCUAUGUCCCUGAUGCAUCAGUCCAAGUUUAAAAUAAUCAGGGGAGAAUUUUAUCAGAGCAAUAACAUAAAGGAGGGAAACGAGUAUUUUAUCAUUGGUUUUAGCAUAACUACAGUAACUGCAGCCUUCAAAUCCAAUUUUCAUGCACUGGCCAUAGAUAUGGUAUGUUUCUCUAGGAAGUCCUCCCCCAGUUUUAAUUUUUAUCAUAUUCUGCAGAUUUUUUAAAAAUGAAUUUUACACGUUAAUGCAAAACCAGAAGAGAAAAGAAUUUUAAUCUAAUAAACUGACUGAAGGAAAAUUACCUGCCAGCGAUAUAAAGUGUGUCUCGAAUUUUCAACAUCAGUUGGAAGUCCAGUCGGUGCUGAGAUUCAUUGCCUGAAGGGCGUCCUCUAAAUACUGGAUAUUGCCUUGAAUCUGCAAGUAAAAAUGGGCUACACCAUCACUCAGGAUUAUAGAGCGAAAGAAUCAAUAUAUGGCAUUGAUUAGCUGUAUAUACUAGGUGUAGAAGGGUUUAAACUAAAUUCGUUGAGUAAUGUCUUGAAUAUAAAUGAAAAAAAGAUGGAUAAUGUCAGCAAAUGUUCUUUUUCCUGAAGUUAUUGCUGUAUUUCUGAUUGCUUUUUUAAGAAAAUGAUUAAGUGUUCCAUUAAAGAUACAAAGCCAGUAAACACAUUUCAAUUUGAAA